rnacentral:rRNA from 1 species
UACGUAGGGUGCAAGCGUUAUCCGGAAUUAUUGGGCGUAAAGAGCUCGUAGGCGGUUUGUCGCGUCUGCUGUGAAAACCCAGGGCUUAACCCUGGGCCUGCAGUGGGUACGGGCAAACUAGAGUGCGGUAGGGGAGAUCGGAAUUCCUGGUGUAGCGGUGAAAUGCGUAGAUAUCUGGAGGAACACCGGUGGCGAAGGCGGCAUCCUGGACCGGUAUUGACGCUGAGGCGCGAAAGCCAGGGGAGCAAAGCGGG